AUCCAGCCUGAAGCCACCACACUUUAAACAGACAGAUUUUAUCUAACCUCUUGAAAACUGCCAGUUCAGUAACUUGUCUGGACAAUCUGCCCAUGUACUUAAUAACACUUAGAAGAAGAAAAUUUCUUCCUACAUUUAUAAUGUUUCCCUUGCUAUUACUCAAGUCCAUUCCUUCUUUCACCCCUGCAUAUACUUUUCCUGUUUGUAGUUCUUUGUAUGUAGUGCCCCACUUUUGUAAUGUAAAACAACUCAGUCAUUUAAAUGUUUCAUUUCAGACCAUAAUUUCCUUAGGCAACCUGCAAACCUGGACUUAAGGAGAGCAGAGUUUGACUUUUUGAAGGCAGAGUCCUGUGGAAUAAGGCCCUGGAGGAAAGAUGGGGAGGGGUUGGAGAGAAGAAGAGGGGGCAAGAAAGCUGCUUAAUAUUCAAGGGUUAUUUCCUACAAGUUUAAAAGUAGUGCAUCCCAGCAAAGAGGAAGUCAGGAUAAAACACCAGGAGGUCUACAUGGAAAAACAAGGACCUCCUGGCCAAACUCAGACACAAAAAGGAAACCUACAGAGAGUGGAAGCAAGGACCUGGGAUGAAUGUAGAUACAGCAUCUGAGCAUCCAGGAUCAAGUUAGGAAAGCUAAAGUCCAAAUGGAAAUGAUAACAACACCAUCAAAGCCUACAAGGGAGAUGUCUUACAUUGCAACUAGGAGUUUUUCCUUGUAUUUUCAAGCUAGACAUGUUCUAAAACUGCUAGAUUUUCAUUCAGAAUAGCCCAGAUAUGAUGGGGUACUCAGUUCUUCUGAACCCUUUCAAAUAAAAGAGUAUCACUUCACUGUUGAAGGUGAGCUCACGUCCUGUCAUCAUGCUUGGCACUGUGGUAUCAGGCAAAUUCUACAUCUACUUUAUUAAACUUAAAGUAGAUUUUAAAGAAAAAAAAAUGAAAUGCACUUGAGUUCUGGGCAUAGAAUUUCAGAUUUUUUUAUCUUUUCUCUAUACUAUAAAGAGUAAUAUGAUCAUUUUCUUGCCAUGAGAAGCACUAUGUGCAGUUGACUAAUCUACUUUUAAAGAUCAUGUAUUUAUUACCACUCUGUUCACUCUAAGCAAAUUGCCCCAAUUUGAGCUUUAAUGACAUUCUUUAGCCCUCAAGUAUUUAUUAUAAAAGAAAUUUAAGAACUUAAAUAGUAACUGUUACAAUAUAUAAAUAACUUCAAACAACAAGGUUUAUGCUACUGUAUGAACCUUAACUUGUGGAUUACCUGAAUUAGACUUUAAAGUUUUCGUUGU
ensembl:lncRNA